ACUCCUACGGGAGGCAGCAGUGGGGAAUAUUGGACAAUGGGGGCAACCCUGAUCCAGCGAUGCCGCGUGUGUGAAGAAGGCCUGAGGGUUGUAAAGCACUUUAGUUGGGGAGGAAAGCCUGAGGAUGAAUAAGCCUUAGGGGAGACGUUACCUAAAGAAUAAGCACCGGCUAACUCUGUGCCAGCAGCCGCGGUAAUACA
rnacentral:rRNA from 1 species